rnacentral:rRNA from 1 species
AUUUGUCUGGUUAAUUCCGAUAACGAACGAGACCUUAACCUGCUAACUAGAUUCUAUCAUCUUAUGAUUGUUAUCUUCUUAGAGGGACUAUGUAAAACAAAUACAUGGAAGUUUGAGGCAAUAACAGGUCAGUGAUGCCCUUAUAUGUCCUGGGCUGCACGCGUGCUACACUGAUGCAUACAACAAGUGCCUAACCAGACAUGGUAUGGCAAUCUCGAAUAUGCAUCGUGAUGGGGAUAGAUCUUUGCAAUUAUAGAUCUUGAACGAGGAAUUCCUAGUAAGUGCAAGUCAUCAUCUUGCAUUGAUUAUGUCCCUGCCCUUUGUACACACCGCCCGUCGCUCCUACCGAUACCGGGUGAUCCGGUGAACCUUUUGGACUCAUUUGGGAAAGAUAAGUAAACCAUAUCACCUAGAGGAAGGAGAAGUCGUAACAAGGUUUCCGUAGGUGAACCUGCRGAAGGAUCA